GCAUAUCAAUAAGCGGAGGAAAAGAAACUAACAAGGAUUCCCCUAGUAACUGCGAGUGAAGCGGGAAAAGCUCAAAUUUAAAAUCUGGCGGUCCUUGGCCGUCCGAGUUGUAAUUUAGAGAAGCGCCUUCCGCGCCGGACCGUGCACAAGUCUCCUGGAAUGGAGCGUCGUAGAGGGUGAGAAUCCCGUCUUUGGCACGGACUCCCGGUGCUUCUGUGAUGCGCUCUCGAAGAGUCGAGUUGUUUGGGAAUGCAGCUCAAAAUGGGUGGUGAACUCCAUCUAAAGCUAAAUAUUGGCGAGAGACCGAUAGCGAACAAGUACCGUGAGGGAAAGAUGAAAAGCACUUUGGAAAGAGAGUGAAACAGUACGUGAAAUUGUUGAAAGGGAAACGCUUGAAGUCAGUCGCGUCGACCGAGACUCAGCCUCGCCUUGGCUUGGUGUACUUCUCGGGCCGACGGGUCAGCGUCGAUUUUGCCCCUCGGACGAUGGCAAGGGAAAGGUGGCACCCUUCGGGGUGUGUUAUAGUCUCCUGUCGCACGCGAGGGGUGGGAUCGAGGAACUCAGCGUGCGCCUUUUGGCGUCGGGGCUUUGGCCCACGACACGCGCUUAGGACGCUGGCGUAAUGGCUUUAAACGACCCGUCUUGAAACACGGACCAAGGAGUCCAACGUGCCCGCGAGUGUUCGGGUGGAAAACCCGUGCGCGUAAUGAAAGUGAAAGUUGGGACCUCUGUCGUGGAGGGCACCGACGCCCGGACCAGACCUUCUGUGACGGAUCUGCGGUAGAGCGUGUACGUUGGGACCCGAAAGAUGGUGAACUAUGCCUGAAUAGGGUGAAGCCAGAGGAAACUCUGGUGGAGGCUCGUAGCGAUUCUGACGUGCAAAUCGAUCGUCAAAUUUGGGUAUAGGGGCGAAAGACUAAUCGAACCAUCUAGUA
rnacentral:rRNA from 1 species